rnacentral:rRNA from 1 species
CAAUAGCGUAUAUUAAAAUUGUUGCGGUUAAAAAGCUCGUAGUUGGAUUUCUGCUGAGAACGACCGGUCCGCCCAUUGGGUGUGUAUCUGGCUCUUUCUUGGCAUCUUCUUGGUGAACGUUACUGCACUUGACUGUGUGGAGCGCUACCCAGGACUUUUACUUUGAGGAAAUUAGAGUGUUUCAAGCAGGCAUACGCCUUGAAUACGUUAGCAUGGAAUAAUAAGAUAGGACCUCGGUUCUAUUUUGUUGGUUUCUAGAGCUGAGGUAAUGAUUAAUAGGGAUAGUUGGGGGCAUUCGUAUUUAACUGUCAGAGGUGAAAUUCUUGGAUUUGUUAAAGACAGACUACUGCGAAAGCAUUUGCCAAGGAUGUUUUCAUUGA